UACGUAGGUCCCGAGCGUUGUCCGGAUUUAUUGGGCGUGAAGCGAGCGCAGGUGGUUUAUUAAGUCUGGUGUAAAAGGCAGUGGCUCAACCAUUGUAUGCAUUGGAAACUGGUAGACUUGAGUGCAGGAGAGGAGAGUGGAAUUCCAUGUGUAGCGGUGAAAUGCGUAAAUAUAUGGAGGAACACCGGUGGCGAAAGCGGCUCUCUGGCCUGUAACUGACACUGAGGCUCGAAAGCGUGGGGAGCAAACAGG
rnacentral:rRNA from 1 species